UCUUAUGAAUGAACAAGAAAGGGGUUUCUUGAUAUGAAAUCUAUUCCUGAUAAAGAUCCUGUGAA
rnacentral:pre_miRNA from 1 species